CGGGAGGUUUAUGUCCACCUGGAGGUUACUGUCCUCUGGCUUCAUCCUCUCCCUUCCCCUGUCCGUCUGGCACUUUCAGCAACAGUUCUGGCCUCAGCAGCCCUGAGGAGUGUGUUAGCUGUCCGCCUGGAUUUUAUUGCUUAGGUUCCAACAAUAGCUCACCUUCUGGACCUUGUUUUCCUGGUUUCUACUGUACUGGGGGUUCUUCCUCACCGGUUCAGAAUGAAGUACAGGAAGGUUUUUAUUCCUUGGAGGGAGCAGCAAGGCCAGAGCCCUGUCCUCUAGGCACUUUUCAGCCUGGCCGAGGUGCAGGUUCAUGUAUGGUGUGUCAGGGAGGAAGGCUGUGCAAUCGAACGGGCCUGUGGCAGCCACCAUUCUGCCCUACAGGACACUACUGUCCGUCUGGUUCCUCUGCUCCAAGGCCCUGCCCUUUAGUCUGUAUCUCCAUGUUUUAGUUUGCUGUUCUUCUUGUCUGUAAUGUCCCUGCCUUACUGCCUUACUUCAGUUUAGCUACAGAAAUAUCAUUUUCUACAAGUCAGCCAUUGACCUAAUAAUUAGAAAUGCUUUUGUGUGAAUGAGUGGGGAUGGGAACCCUUAAUGUCCAAACCAAUAGGCUUGAUAGGCUUAGAGCCCUAACAAAUCUGAUCUUCUUACACUUCCAAUACCUCUGUAAUGCUGUUAUAUCUAAGGAAAGGAGUAGUUUAUUGCUCUAUCUAAUGCAGUUAUGUGAUGUAAAGUUUGUCAUUGUCAUGCUCUGUGCAAUAACCUGAAGCCAAAUCUUUAUUUUACUUAGAUUUCUAGAAGCAAAAAUUUGUUUUGAAUGUGGGUGCAUGUCUGGUAUCAAUAUUACUGAUUUUACUGUGCUUUUUCAUUGUAAAUGCAGUUCAUGCAGAUGAUAGUGAAUAAUCGGAUUUUUCAGGGCACUUAUUCUGACCAGCUAAGUGGUGGGGAUGCAAAGCACUGUCGACCAUGUGAGGCAGGUUCAUUCUGUGGCAGAGCUGGCCUCUCCAAGCCUCAAGGUCUCUGUGAUCCGGGUCACUACUGCACAUCAGGAGCCACCACAAGCUCUCCUGUAUGUUUUAACAAAAAUCUGCAAAAAGAUUUUAACACAUGCUUUUAAAUCACAUCAUAUGGAUUGUCUUGGAAAAGUAUUCACCCCCCUUGAAUUUGUAGAUGUCACGUAAUUAGUAACUGGAGUCCAGGUGUGUUUAAUUUAAUUUUAGUGUAAAUCAAGCUGUGGCAACAUCAUGUUGUGGGGACACUUUUCUUCAGCAGGCACUAGGACAGUGGUCAGAGUUGGUGGGAAGAUGGAUAGGACUAAAUACAGGUCAAUACAGGAGAGAACCUGUUAAAGGCCUCUAAAGACUUGGGAUUGUGUUCACAUUCCAGGGCCCCAUUUCAGAAAAAGGCAUUAGUGAAAACUCAGAGUAAGUUCUGGGGUAUGUAUGUGCACACCCUGGGUUUUCGGUUUUAAAAAGCCAGCUAGCUGUUACCCCUGUGUCAAGUUAUGUGAACCAACCCUGUUCGGUAACGGGGUUUAUUGAAAUAACCCUUUAUUUGGUCUGCUUGUUAGCUGAGAUCUGGCACAAGGAAAGUGUCAGAAAUGAUGUGAUCUUUCCUGGAGGAGCCUGAAGACGCUGGAGUGCAAAUACUCCCCAGAAAUCUCCGCCAGUAGAGGUUGAUCACUGAUCAGACUGCGAAUAGGUGUCUUUUCCGGAUUAAUAUAUUUUCGAAGGAUACCGUCAAAAUACAGUCACAUAUUUAUCAUAAUAAAUUCUCAUAAUAUUUUAUUUUAAGCAAGAGGCGCCAGCACUCCCAAAGCCGUCCCCUAGUCCUCUAGUCACAGACACAGAAUUCCACAGAAUUGCAGGUAUCAGUGAAAUCAAUAACUCAGUCUGUAUUUAUAUAUAUUUGUUAUAAUAAUUUCUGAUUGACCAAUCUUUUCCCGAACUAAAGACAGAAGUGAAAAUACAGUAGUUUUUAAUACUUUGAAAAUAAAAAAUAAUCCACAUUCAACUGAUGCUCCAACAGUUGGAUUUCUUGUUGUGUUUUCUGCAGCUGUAUGUUUAGGUCUUAGGGACAGAAAAAUAUCUCAAUUUCAGUUGCAUGUCUACACUUUUUCAUAUUAAGUCAUGAGCCAACCUUUAACUUCUUACACAUCAUUAAUUGCAUAUGCUGCGUAUAGCUAGUGAAUGAUGUGGAAUUCAUUUGGUAAAGGUUAAACAUAACAAUAGCUCAUAA